CAGCCAUCAUUUAAAGAAAGCGUAAUAGCUCACUGGUCGAGUCGGCCUGCGCGGAAGAUGUAACGGGGCUAAACCAUGCACCGAAGCUGCGGCAGCGACACUAUGUGUUGUUGGGUAGGGGAGCGUUCUGUAAGCCUGCGAAGGUGUGCUGUGAGGCAUGCUGGAGGUAUCAGAAGUGCGAAUGCUGACAUAAGUAACGAUAAAGCGGGUGAAAAGCCCGCUCGCCGGAAGACCAAGGGUUCCUGUCCAACGUUAAUCGGGGCAGGGUGAGUCGACCCCUAAGGCGAGGCCGAAAGGCGUAGUC
rnacentral:rRNA from 1 species